rnacentral:rRNA from 1 species
GACGAACGCUGGCGGCGUGCUUAACACAUGCAAGUCGAGCGGAAAGGCCCUGCUUUUGUGGGGUGCUCGAGUGGCGAACGGGUGAGUAACACGUGAGUAACCUGCCCUUGACUUUGGGAUAACUUCAGGAAACUGGGGCUAAUACCGGAUAGGAGCUCCUGCUGCAUGGUGGGGGUUGGAAAGUUUCGGCGGUUGGGGAUGGACUCGCGGCUUAUCAGCUUGUUGGUGGGGUAGUGGCUUACCAAGGCUUUGACGGGUAGCCGGCCUGAGAGGGUGACCGGCCACAUUGGGACUGAGAUACGGCCCAGACUCCUACGGGAGGCAGCAGUGGGGAAUAUUGCACAAUGGGCGGAAGCCUGAUGCAGCAACGCCGCGUGCGGGAUGACGGCCUUCGGGUUGUAAACCGCUUUCGCCUGUGACGAAGCGUGAGUGACGGCAAUGGGUAAAGAAGCACCGGCUAACUACGUG